rnacentral:rRNA from 1 species
UACGUAGGGACCAAGCGUUGUUCGGAUUUACUGGGCGUAAAGGGCGCGUAGGCGGCAAUUCAAGUCAGCUGUGAAAUCUCCGGGCUUAACUCGGAACGGUCAGCUGAUACUGCUUUGCUAGAGUGCGGAAGGGGCAAUCGGAAUUCUCGGUGUAGCGGUGAAAUGCGUAGAGUAUCGAGAGGAACACCUGAGGUGAAGACGGGUUGCUGGGCCGAACACGUGACGCUGAGGCGCGAAAGCCAGGGUAGCAAACGGG